AGAAUAAAAGACAGAAGUUGGAAAGUAGGAGAGUAUCAGACGGUACGAGCAUUCGUCUCAGACUUUCAGCUCAUUUUCAGCAACUGCAGAACAUUCAAUAGGGACAAUUGUUUUUGGCCGAAUGGGUCCCUGGCUGAAAGAAAAUGUUCGAGGAAGAGUUCAAGAAAAUCUUCAGUAUCCAAUAACCGCAUUUUAACCUGUUAUACAAUUAAAGAAUUUUAACGGAUAAAAAUUGCACAAUCCACUUUUAAGACCUAAAUCAAAAUAUAUUGCAGAAUUUUGUUAUUUGAAUCAUUUGGCAUUCAUUAUUCUGUUUUUUUUAACACAUUAAAACAUAUACAUUUAUACAUAAAUAAUUGAUACCUUUAUGUAAAACCUUUUUUUAUGUUUAUUAUUAGCAGUAGUAGUAGUUUUUGUUUUCUAUAUUGUUUUGUGUAGUUUCUUUUUGUUCUGUAACCUUUUUUGUAUUUUGUUAUGUAAAUGUUGUGAAGUAUAAUAGUCUUUGAGUGACUCAGGUAUGUAGAUAUACAUAUGACAGGUGACGCCAGUGUAGGAGCUAGAGUUUUAAACAUGGGGUGGCCAGGGGGUGGCCAAGGCUAAAUCAGGGGGUCCAUAGACCAUGACAGAAAAUCAGUGUAUAACUCUAACCUGGCAUCAAAAACGCAUGGAUAAAUCCUACGAUUGCUGAUUACUUCACAUUACCCCACCUUAGCUAUACACUCCUACCAUAACUUCAAAUGUUGUAACUUAUUUCUCUUACUUCAAUCGUCUCAUUAACCAGUGGUUGGAGAAGAUCUUUUUAUUUUUUAUUGCAGUCACAUGAUCCUUCAGAAAUCAUUCUAAUAAUCUGAUUUGCUGCUCAAAAAACAUUUAUUAUGUUGAAAACAGCGGAGUAGAUUUUUUUCAGGUAUCUUUACAUUUAGAAGAAUAGCAUUUAUCUGAAAUAGACCAUUUUUUUAUAAUAACGUUAUAUCUAUACAUUUUUAUUUUGUAUGUUUGCAAAAUUCUCUUCUCUAGUGUAAAUUUUUCUCUCGUUUAUGUAGACUGAAUGGCUUUUGGUUUUGUGACCGUGUUUUCAAGCUGCUGUCUUUCCGCGGUUGAAACACUCAUUGAGUGUGAUUUCAAAGUUGUAGUCUAUCUUUCAACAUGAAUCUGAUGUGCACUCAUGUU
rnacentral:lncRNA from 1 species